rnacentral:tRNA from 1 species
AAUAAAGUGGCUGAGGGAAAGCGGUGAAUUGUAAAUUCAUAAACAAGUUUUACUUCUUUAUUA